rnacentral:lncRNA from 1 species
UUUAAUCAAAACCCACAACACAAAUCCAGAUUUUAUUCCUCUCUCUAUCGAAACCUUGACCUUCGUGGCUUCAUAUUUUUGCAGCUACAUUUUUCUGUCUCCUGCUUUGAAGCACACCGCUCAAUUUUCUCUCCCCUUCAUUUUUUCUUCUUCUAUCCUUUCACAUUUGAGACCAAAAAUUCAUGUGAAUCACGCUUUGAAUGAUGAUCCAUUUGGUUUGUGAGAAAAUGAUCCGGAGAAGAAAAGCUUAGCUUGUUGCAACUGGCCUUUUCGCUUUUCUAUGCUUUACGGAACACUUUCAGUAUCCGGUAAAUAAUCAUAAUUGCUCAAUUUUCUCUCAAAUGAUUAAUUUUUGAUCAUAUAUUAAUUUUUCCUUUUUGAAAUGUUUAGAUCAACUCUAAUGGAAGGAUUUGAUUUUGAUUUUAUGCGAACGAGGCUUUGUUCUCAGCUCAGGUGAGGAUUUGAUUUUUAUUUUAUGUGAACGAGGCUUUGUUUUCAGCUCAGGUGAGGAUUUUUUUUCAGUGUUAUUUUUUUCUUCAAGUUAACUACAUAUAUAAUUGAACUGCCUCUGAAUGAGUUUUUAAUAGUAUAGGGUCUCCAAAAAAACAAAAACUUAUUGAACUUUAUAAUAACAGAUAUUCUUCAGUUUUAGCUUGCAUCUGAUCAGAUUUUCACCGUAGUUAUAGUUGCUGUAGGCUGUAGCUUUAUUCUUGGUGAUUACAACAGUGAUAGCUGAUAUUUCAUGGUUAAUUCUGAAACUUGCUUCGUUUGCAUUUACAGUUUCAUAGAGAAAGUGUUUGAUUAGCAUAAAUAUCCUUUGAUUAAUAUUUAAACACCUGCUCACACAUCUUGGUGUUUUUACAGGCAGUUUGCUUGCUUAUAAUAUUUCCAAGGACAUAUAUAUAUAUAUAUAUAUAUAUAUAUAUAUAUAUAUAUAUAUAUAUGUAUAUAUAUAUAUAUACAAACACACACGCACAUAUGUACACAUACCUAAACUGCCUGUUUGUGUGCACUUUAUGAUAUAGAUGUUUCAGAUGUGUAUGGCAAAUAAAAGCUUUAUUUUAUUGUCUUGCCGUGCUAUUAAUUAUGUAGGAUUAAACUCUUAUCAUUCUACUUUCUACUAUUUAUUGUCUUGGAGAUCUGUACGUUCAAAUUUUUUUUGGUCUGUCUAAAAUUUUCUAUACUCAGCUCAAUUUUUUGUUGUGGUUGUUUGGACAGGAUGGGUUAUUGGGAAAAUUAAACCAAUUCUACUAAACAAUAAAAGAAUAAGAAACUUAGCAGUGCCUUCUUAUGUAAGUUGAGUUGUCAAACACUAUCCUUAAGAGAUUAUUGUGCCCCUUCAUAGAAUUAUAUUUCGGCGUUGAGGGUAAUUGGCAGACAUGAUUCAACUACUUUUCUUCUGACUAAACAAGACACGAUCAAAAUAUGGCAUUUAAUCAAGAUUUGAAUGUAUUUGUAAUAAUAUUGUUUUAAAAUUAAUAAAUUCAAAACGGUACAUCGGGUACAUACCGUUCUAAUAGACAAACGGUAUGCUUGUCGGUAUUGUAUUUGUAACUGUGAUAACCACACACACAUAUAUGGGUAAUGAUCCAUAACAAGUAAUUGGUAUGAAUAAAAAAUGGGCGAACACCAUUUCUAUUGUUCAAUAUAAGAACCAACGACCGAGAUUAUAAUUGAAAAAUUCAAGUCUGCUACUAUUAGUAGCUGACGACUGGUUACGUCUGCUACUAAUAAUAGCGGACGAUGGGUUACGUCUGCUACUAAUAGUAGCGGACGAUGGUACUAUUUUAAGCGGCAUCCGUUACUAUUAGUAGCAGACGUAAUUUGUCGUCCGCUACAAAAUUUUUCAGUUCUAAUUUCAGUCGUUUGUUCCUUGAACGAUAGAGAUGAUGUAUGUCAAUUUUUAAUUUAUAUCAAAUACAUGCUAUGGAUCAUUACCCUAUAUAUAUAUAGCUUGACUAAAAAUAUAACAUGCCAAAUACACCCAAUUCAGUGUUAUCAAGAAAGAGGUUCGUUUCAAUUCAUGGAGCCGAUACAAGUUUGUUGUACGCUCUAUAGGCUAUAGGCGGUACGGGUAGUUUUAUAUAAAUGCUUAUGGUUAGGAAUCCUCUUAGUAUCUAGUUCAACAAAUCUAAGUUUAUAAAAGAAUUGUAAUUGAAUCUACAAGUUGAUCUCUUAGUAUCUAGUUCAAUAAAUCUAAGUUUAUAAAAGAAUUGUAAUCGAAUCUACAAGUUGAUUGUUCUAUAAAUAAUUUAGUACAGAUGUGAUGUUUAACAUCCAUUGCCAAGUUAGAAUAUUGAUAUAGAGAUGCGCAACUAUAUAGUAAAACAACAAAUAAAUAUUUUGUUAUCCUUAAUUUUAAGUAUUAGUACACCAGAGUACCAUGUUUGAGAACACAAAUACGAAUAUUACGGUCAAUAAGAUUAUCUUGUAACUCUGGCCAAAAUAUCUUUCUUUCCCUUUGAGUCAAUGCAAAAUAUUACCCGGGAGGUGUCAAAUUUCGGGUUCCAAACUUGAAGUUUUUACUCACAUAACACUACCUUAUGCAUUUUACCAUUUUUCAGUUAUAGUUUAUGCGUUGCUUUGUAUUUAGUCAUAUAAUCUUUUUUUUAUAUUUUUUUUUGAGAAAAGUCAUAGUAUCUUCUUUAUUCAUCCUAUUCAGGACUAAUUGAUGGACAUUCUCAAUUAUUUUUUAGGUUUAGAAAAAUGUUGUUUGCAACUCUCAGGUAGAUUGAUUCAUUUGUAAUCAGAAAAUGCUACAAGGUUGUUAAACUUUAUGGUUCAUAAGAGAAGAACUUAUAAGAAAUAGAUGCUCUUUUUGGGAAGGGGAUAGGGAGGCUAUUGCUUGGAAUACUCCUUUUUUUAAGAAUUUAAAUGACCCUGAGACAAAUGAUUUAAUUUCUCUCUUGGUACCAUUCUCAGCUAGGUUUCUUUCUCUUCUUCUACGACCAUUGUCUUUGGAUUCUUUAGGCAGUUUUUGUUGCUAAUUUUGUUUUUUGUUAUUUUAUUCCUAUUUGAUCUCCUAAUGAGGAGGACAAUUUUUAUUGCAAUUUGUUGCAAAAUAUAAGGGAGUAAAAAUUCUUGUGCUCAGAUGUGUCAAGUGCAGACUAAAUAGAAGGGGCAGGAAAUGUUCUAGAGAUAUCAAUUUACUGUUAUGAGGGCACCAUCUUGAGAGAAUUGCUUAAGAUAAUUUUUUCCAUCUCUUUUCAUCUGUUUUCUAUGACUGAAAUUGUGUUCUUUUGAUAGUGUUUUUCCUUUUUUUAUUUUAUAGAAAAAGAAUUUUUAUUAAUAGAGAUGUUUUCUCUGAGAAUGUUCAGUGCAUUUUAAAUCUAUUUAAGUUGUUCCCCACAACUGUAUCAGUCAGUUUGGUCUCAACUUCCUACUGCUAAUUUUAUGGGUCAAAGAUUAUAUUUCCAUUUUAAAAUUUAUAUAUUAGUAACUGACCCGGGUGUUUGUAUAUAUGAUAGAUUUGGCAUCUCUAAAACGUUCUUGAGCCAGGAUUAAAAGAAACUCAAAUUUGAGUCUUUAAAACACUUCUUCUGUAUGAGUUGAGCUUUUUAUAAGAACACAAUGAUUUAUCUCCUUGAUCUAGAGGACAGUUACUCUAAACAAAUUUAUGAACUUUUGUGAAAGCUUAGAAAUGCUACCAAGGAUUAAAACCAAGGAAUUGGUACUAAGAGAUGCUUAAAGCAAGCAAAAGUUUAGUUUGUGAUACUGAUUUUCAUGAUGACAGAGAUCCAAUGUUAUCACAAUGACUGGAAUAGAAAGUGUUAUUUCCCAAAGGCGAUCUAGGAGGGGGAGGGGUUGAAUAGAUCUUUAAAAUUCUUUCAAUUGCUUAAUUAAAUUUACCCAAUAAUUAAUUAAUCAAGAUUAUCUAUACACAACGGAAUUUAAGUUGAAAACUCCCUUGAAGAUUUACUUAGAAAUCUCAGUUCUAAAACAAGUUCUAUGAAUGGGCAAACAUAUAGCAGAUAUAGUAGUUAUAGAUUGCAGAAUGUAAAUGACAUAAUGUAAAAGAAACAUAAGGUUUUAAGUGGUUCGGAGACUAAACAACUCCUACUCCACUCUUCUACUCAACGAGUAGGAUAUUCACUAAGGAUAUAGGCCCAACAGACCAUUUUACAUAUGAAUACCUAGUACUUCGAGUCAUAAAGUCUCGACAUCAAGUCAUUAAGACUCGGCAAUUCAGUCACUAAUGAUCAGGAUCCACCGACCCCAAUUCGGUCCUUCAGAUCAGGAUCCACUGACCCUAAUUCGGUCACAUAUACCAGGAUCUAACGACCAUUCUUUUUGUUUGUAGAAGUGUGUUUGAAGUGCUGCUAAGAUCUUCAUCUUAUGGUACUUAGCAGCAUUGUUGAUCAUUUUCUUAGUGCUUGCUGAACUCUGUUGUUGAAGUUUGAUUUCUUCUGAUUAUCAGCAGCUACUCAUGAUCAUUGUUGAUGUGUUGCGAAGCUAUUCACUUUAUCUCUUUAUCUUUUGUGGUUAGCAGCAUUGAACACUUCCUGGAUUGUAGACUUGUGCUCUAUGUCUUCAACUAGUUGGCUCUGAGUGUUUAUGGUGAAACGUAAAGUGGUGCUUUGAGAUUUUCUUUGUGAUUUGCCACUCUCAUGUUAUUAGCAUCAACCACAUGGCUUCUUCAUAGGGAUAAAUCAACUUUUGGUACCUGUACUGGGACACAACUUACAAUUUGGUACCUGAAGUGAAAAAAGUUACAAACUGGUGAUUGUACUUGAAAAAUGUUACACUCCGUUAAACAUUAGGGAUACGACUUACAAUUUGGUACCCGAAGUGAAAAAAGUUACAAACUGGUGAUUGUACUUGAAAAAUGUUACACUCCGUUAAACAUUAGGGAUACGACUUACAAUUUGGUACCCGAAGUGAAAAAAGUUACAAACUGGUGAUUGUACUUGAAAAAUGUUACACUCCGUUAAACAUUAGGGAUACGACUUACAAUUUGGUACCCGAAGUGAAAAAAGUUACAAACUGGUGAUUGUACUUGAAAAAUGUUACACUCCGUUAAACAUUAGGGAUACGACUUACAAUUUGGUACCCGAAGUGAAAAAAGUUACAAACUGGUGAUUGUACUUGAAAAAUGUUACACUCCGUUAAACAUUAGGGAUACGACUUACAAUUUGGUACCCGAAGUGAAAAAAGUUACAAACUGGUGAUUGUACUUGAAAAAUGUUACACUCCGUUAAACAUUAGGGAUACGACUUACAAUUUGGUACCCGAAGUGAAAAAAGUUACAAACUGGUGAUUGUACUUGAAAAAUGUUACACUCCGUUAAACAGUAGGGUUUCAUCUUUAUUCUGUUUGAAAAUUAGGGUUCUCUUCUUCUGUCCUUCUUCUCUCGUUCUUCUUGUCUCGAUUCUCCAUUGAUUACUGGUUCCCAUAUAUUUAUUUAAGGGUUUUCAGUGUUUAAUUGAAAUGAUGAGUAUGUUUUGGAGUGGAAUCGUAAAUGAAAUCGGGGAAGAAGAUUGUAGUUCAUGCAAUAAAAAUGAAUGGAUUACACCAGAGUUCCCAAGUCGGUGCCACUGUGGAGCAAUGGUGCGAAUGUGGGAGGCAAGGAAAGAUGGAACAAAACAUCGAGGAUCUUCUUCGCGUCGACUUCGCUUCUUUCUCUGUAUGUUUGUCUAUCCCGUUGGAUCAAUUUUAACGAUUAUUUAAAAAUUGUAAAGUACAAGCACCAGAUUUCAACAUUUUUUGAGUACAAUCACCAAUUUGUAAUUUUUUUCACUUCGGGUACCAAAUUGUAAGUCGUGUCCCGGUACAGGUACCAAAAAUUGAUUUAUCCCCUUCUUCAUAUUUGGACUUUCAGCUUUGUCAUGUCCUCCACUUUCUUAGCUCUACGGCUCUAGCUCAUUUUCUCUUGAGCUUUCUAGCUCUUUGGCAUUGGCUCUGCGGUUUAUUCAUCAGCUUCUUGUAAUCUGAUGAGAUGUUGCCAAAAUUACGUUUUAAUUUCCUUCUCUUUUGUACCUGGCAGCCUUGAACAUUUCUCUGUUCGUAGAGUGGACCUUACUCUACGUUUUGUCUUGUUCAGCUCAAUAUUCACCUCUGAUGAUGUUUUCUCUAUGUAUUGACAUUCAGUGCUCAUCAUCAUCAUAUGUUUUUUUGAAUGUUGUCUUUUAUACUCCUUAGAAAUCUUCCCGUUGAGAAGUAUCCGUUGGAGCAUUUAAUGAUCAUAUACUUUGAUAUAUCUGAUGUUGACUUUCCGGAGCUUGUGUCAGUGUACUUUCUGACUUAAGACUUGUCACAUCAAUCAGUAUCUUUUCUUUCUUUUCUACACCUUGCUUUCGGCCAACUAGCCAGUAGACAUGCCUUUGUUUUCUCGUAAGAAUAUAUCUUCUGAACCUUGAACUCUUAUUGUAACGUUCUAUUUGUCAGUCCCCUUUGUCAGACCCGACGUUUACUCUACGACCUUGUUACAAAUCAUAGGGCUGAGCUUUACGUCCUGCUUGAACUUUCUGUUCUUGUGUCUUUUGACUAUUGAUAGUAGAGUGAUGGAAGUUGUAGACUUGAGUUCUGUAUCAUCACUACUAAUAUGACCUCAUCUUCUGUUCUUCUUUCUGAUUGCUUCAUUAUGCUUGGACUUGUUGUGAAGACUCUUCUUCGUUCUCUUGAUACUUUAACUGCUUUGCGAAGUUGAGAACAUCUUUCUGAAUGAGGUGUUCCUCUUUGCUCUCAAGUACUGAUAGCUUUUUUAUGAAGUCCUGAUUGCUCAGCGAUUUGCUCUGAAUAUUAUGAUUAGGCAGAGUAUCCUUGCAUUUAGACUUUUAUAGAUUUUUUUUGGAGAUCUCUUCUAUUAAGAGAGAUGCUCAAAUAUCAUCAGAGUAUAUUUUUUUUCUACAUGCUUCUUCUUGUGUGAUCUUCACCUUAUAUCCAUGGCACAAAAUAAGUUUGAUAAUUUCCUUUUAACUUUAGGGGCAGCUUUGCACAUUAUGCUUUACGGUUCUGAGGCUGUCUUUAUGAUCUUGACUUUACGGAAUGAUCUUGGAGAUUACCUUAUGAUUCUUUCAUUCAGUGUCUGCUUGGAGUAUUCUACGAUUAUUUGUCUUUACGAUUCACUGAUCACUUAGCAAGUUGGUUGUGACUUUGCUAGGUGAUGUUCGAUAUAUAUAACAGCUUCUUCGACUUCUUAUACAACUAUGUGAUAGUCUUGCAACUUUGAGAUCAUUUGUUCACUUUACGAGCUGAUUCUCUGUCUACGAGAUGGAGUGAACUCUGCGAAUGCUGUACAAACAUUGUUGACUCUGCGAAGUAUCUCCAUCUUCGCAGAGUAAUUUUACGAUCAUGAUUUCCUAUCAUCUAUACAUCAGAUCAAUUUUCAUAAGAUCAACAUAACAGUAUUUGAUCUUUCUAGUCUAAGUCUUUGUACAUCAAUUCUUUUGAAGGGCUUUAGAAAAUUUACUUGUACAAAUAUACAUUAAUCAUAUUUCACUUUAAGCACGUGUAGAUUACUCUGCUGAUAAUGCUGUUAUCAUGCAGAGUAGCCUUUUACCAUGAUUUUUCUAUUACAUAUGCAGAUAGGAUAAAGAUCAACCUAACGUUAGGUUUGAUCAUACUAUUCUAAGUCCUUGUACAUAGAUAUCUCAGUUAAGGACUAUACAAAACUUAUCCAUACGAAUAUACUACAAGUGCUUCAUCAUCAAAUCAUAUACAUUUGAAAUCUAAUAAGGGUUCUAAUCAAACUCCCCCUUAAUUUAGUAACCUUCUAAUCUAUAAUUAGGUUCCUAACAGAAAGUUCUUUCUACUUCGUCACCUAUAUUAUGUAUUUAAUUGUUCAUCCUUUUUAAGUGUGAUAAACCUGUUCUUUUUGUAUAAGAGUCAAGAUCAUUAAGAAUUGGACAUCAUGUGAAUAAAGUUGUGUGUGAAAAUACAAAAUCAAUUGAAAAAGAUACCUUUUCUGAAUAAUUUGCAAACAUUGUAUUUGUCUCUGGUUAAGAUUAUUAUUUUUUGAAAUGAAGAUAUAACAUUCUCUAUUUGAGUUCAAUGGAAGCGAUAAAAAUAAUUAUGGCAUAUAGGCUAUAUAGUUUUAGUUCCUUUCUUCUAGUUGAAUAAGUUGUAGCCCCUUCUUUUUGGUAAUUGUUACUCUUAAGUUGAUUCCAUGCGGAUAGUUAAAUAGCCGGGUUCAGUUUUAGAGCUAUAUUAUGUUGCUAACACAUCCUUCUUCAUGUGUGUUAGAGUUAAAUUCUGGUGUCUAUUUUUUUUUGGGAUAAAUCAACUUUUGGUACCUGUACUGGGACACGACUUACAAUUUGGUACUCGAAGUGAAAAAAGUUACAAACUGGUGAUUGUACUCGAAAAAUGUUGCACUCUGUUAAAUAUUAGGGACACAACUUACAAUUUGGUACCCGAAGUGAAAAAAGUUACAAACUGGUGAUUGUAUUCGAAAAAUGUUACACUCCGUUAAACAGUAGGGUUUCAUCUUUAUUCUGUUUGAAAAUUAGGGUUCUCUUCUUCUGUCCUUCUUCUUGUCUUGAUUCUCCAUUGAUUACUGGUUCCCAUAUAUUUAUUAAAGGGUUUUCAGUGUUUAAUUGAAAGGAUGAGCUCGUCUGUAGUGGAAUCGUAAAUGAAAUCGGGGAAGAAGAUUGUAGUUCAUGCAAUAAAAAUGAAUGGAUUAUACCGGAGUUCCCAAGUCGGUGCUACUGUGGAGCAAUGGUGCGAAUGUGGGAGGGAAGAAAAGAUGGAACAAAACAUCGAGGAUCUUUUUCGUGUCGACUUCGCUUCUCUUUGUAUGUUUGUCUCUCCCGUUGGAUCAAUUUUAACGAUUAUUUAAAAAUUGGAAAGUACAAGCACCAUAUUUCAACAUUUUUCGAGUACAAUCACCAGUUUGUAACUUUUUUCACUUCGGGUACCAAAUUGUAAGUCGUGUCCCAAUACAGUUAUCAAAAGUUGAUUUAUCCCUUUAUUAAAGGGUUUCAGUGUUUAAUUGAAAGGAUGAGCUCGUCUGUAGUGGAAUCGUAAAUGAAAUCGGGGAAGAAGAUUGUAGUUCAUGUAAUAAAAAUAACUGGAUUACACCAGAGUUUCCAAAUCGGUGCCACUGUGGAGCAAUGACGCGAAUGUGGGAGGCAAGGAAAGAUGGAACAAAACAUCGAGGAUCUUCUUCGCGUCGACUUCGCUUCUUUCUCUGUAUGUUCGUCUCUCCCGUUGGAUCAAUUUUAACGAUUAUUUAAAAAUUGGAAAGUACAAGCACCAAAUUUCAACAUUUUUUGAGUACAAUCAUCAAUUUGUAAUUUUUUUCACUUCGGGUACCAAAUUGUAAGUCGUGUCCCUAAUGUUUAACGGAGUGUAACAUUUUUCGACUACAAUCACCAGUUUGUAACUUUUUUCACUUCGGGUACUAAAUUGUAAGUCGUGUCCCAGUACAGGUACCAAAAAUUGAUUUAUCCCAUUUUUUUUCAUCCAUUAAGCAUUAAUCAGUAUCGGUAGUAUCUAGUAUUUUCUUUCACACAGUCAUAGUUGUCAAAACUCCAUAUCGUGUUUCACGUAUAGUAUCGUGAAUUGUAUUGUACGAUACGAAAACAAAAUAAAAAGUGUGGUAAUAUAUAUUUAAACAUAUAAGACACAAUUUAUAGGAUAAUCGACUAUAUACAAGUAGUCGAGUAAAUAUUAUUAUAGACUAAAAAUUAAUUUUAAAGUUAAAUAGUAGCCAAAAUACUCUAAAUUGAUUUAUUAUAUAUUAUUUUAGUAAUCUUUAUAGAGUAAAGUGAAAACGAAAAUUCAGAUUCACCUUUUAUCUAAAAAAAAAAGAGAAUAAUUCAAAUUAACAAGUGGAGAUUUACGUAUUUGCUUGUAGAAAGUGACGUGAGAAAAAUAGAGCGACAUUCUGAAGAAGAUAUAAAUCUCUAAAAGUGAAUAAAAGCUUAUCAAGCGAUAUAAAAUAAGUUUAUACUAAAAAAUCUAUUCAUUUGAAAUAGUAGAAGGCUUAAAAAUUUUGUUUUUACUCUUUUGGUUAUACAUAAAAAAAUUUUCAAGUCGGUUGCUAAUUUUAAGAAGUAUUGUACAGGUAUCGUUUCGUAAGAAUCAUAUCGAAGCGUAAAUGAAUCGUAGAAUACGGUGUCAUUUUUGAUUAACCAUGCGAUACGUAUCGUAUCGUACGAUAUGUAUCGCGUAUCGUAAGAUUCUGACAACUAUACACUUAGUAUAGUGGGGUCUAUUCUGUUUUUUUUAAAAUUUUUUUAAUGAGAAAUAUUUAGUAAUUUGAAACCUAAUUAACUUGAAUUUGAGACAACAGGAAAGAUAAACAGAAAUAUUCAGUUAUAUUUAAAAAUAUUUUACAAAGACCUUAAGGCAAGUCGUGUUUUCCCUUGUUGACAAGUAAGCAUUUAACUAUUCUUGCAUCUGAAAUCAACUACUUAUGUUCUGACCUUUAAUCAAACAAUUUUAAGGUGCCUCAUCUGAUUAAGCAUACCCUUAAGUGUUGUAUUCUAUACUGCUCUUUCUUACCGCCCUCCACGUAUACGAUUGCACCCAUUAAUAUUGCGGGAAACCUGCAAUUUUUAAAUGAAAAUUUUAGGAACCUCUAGAUUUUGUAUAAUCAAUUAAGAAUUUAUAGUAGGAAACCUUAUUGAAGAUUUAGGUGAUAUUUCUAUUUAAGGACAUAAGUUAUUAAGCACAGAUAUUGUGUAGGACCGUUAGGGACUAGGUGUAGAGGUCUGCAUUCCUCCUAUUUAGGAGAGGGAGCACAACAAAUACCAAACUUAGUCGUCAUAUUUAUAAUUGAAGAAACAAGCCAAAAGACCAGAAAGGGCUAAAAGAAAGGAAAUUUGCAAAUACUAUCUAUUGUGAGAUACUGAGAUUUCGAUCCUACAUCGGAGCAUGUGAGCAUGUGAGGAUAAUGCGUUCCUUUUCAAUUUUAGUUAAUGACUACAGAGAAAUAUCCUCCCAUGGGUAGCCCGCUAAGAUGACCUACUCGGUGAUUACUUGGUCUAUAGAGUGGUAUUCCCUCAUGUAUGUACUUUAAUUUAUCAUAUUAUUUGUGCUAUAUAUGCAACAUGCGUAACAAGUUAAUUGGUCCAAUCUCAGAAAUGAUGAUGGUUUGUUGGAUAUUGGAAGGCUUUCAGUCAACACUUUAGGAAUUGCAUGUAUCCCAGAUAAAAACAUGGUUUUUGAUUGUGACUAUCCUAUUUUCUCUCAAUAUUAAUUUUCUGUGUUUUAUAUGGCAUUUCCUUUGUGAAUGCUAGAAGACAAUAUUAUUCCGUAUCAUAUGUACAAUAGAAAGCCUUUAUAUAUUUCAAGUGUUAAAGCUAAAUAUGGAAAGUAAAUUAUAGUGAUCAAUGAUUACCACUAAUCACGCUUCUAGAAUAAUCCUACCACUAAUUACCCCUAAUCAAAUCAAUCAUAUAAUCCUCUAGAUUAAUCAAACACUCCCCUUUAAGCUGGAGCAUGUAUAUCAAUCAUGCCCAACUUGUUACAAAUAUAACAGAUUCUAGUAGCCCCUAAAGCUUUUGUAAAACACAUCCGCAAGUUGAUCACCAAUAUGACAUCGAGUUCUCUCGUGGAACACCGGAUUAGAAGCAAUGUAGAUAGCAGCUGCAUUAUCACACCAAAAUUGCAUAAGAACUAUCUUGUUGAAACCCAACUCAGUUAACAAAUGCUUCAACCAUAUUAAUUCACAAGAGACAUGAGCCAUUGCUCGAUAUUCUAAUUUUGCACUAGACCGAGACACAACAUUUUGCUUCUUGCUUUUCCACGAUACAAGAUUGCCUCCAACAAAUACACAAUAUCAUGUAGUAGAUCUCUUAUUAGUUGGACUCCCUGCCUAGUCAGAACACAAAAGCCUUCUACUCAUGUGUUUAUGAUUUCUAAAUACUAAUCCGCGACCUGGAGCACUUUUAAGGUACUUUAUCCUCACAACUGCAUCCCAGUGUAAGGACCUAGGGGAAGAUAAGAACUGGUUGACCACACUAACAGGUAAAACAAUGUCUGGUUGAGUAACUAUAAGAUAAUUGAGUUUUCCCACAAGUCCAGAAGAUCUCCUCCUUUUGUUGUUAGUUUCUGGCUUGUGUCCAUGGGUGUGUCAACUGGCUUUGAUCCAAGCAAACCUGUUUCUUCCAAUAAGUUUAGAACAUAUUUACGCUGUGAAAGGAAAAUACCUUUACUAGAUUGCGCCACUUCAACCCCCAAGAAGUAUUUUAAUUUUCCCAAAUCCUUGAUUGAAUUUCACCAAUUUUCUGUCUAUCAUCUCUUGUAAUGACAAUAUCAUUCACAUACACAAUCAACAAAAUAAUGCCAACACUACUCUCACGAUGAAACAAAGAAUGAUCACUAUUACAUCUCAACAUCUCAAAUUGGAGAACCGCCUCCAUUAAUUUACCAAACCAUGCUUGUGGUGAUUGUUACAGUCCAUAUAAUUAUUUCUUCAAUUUACAAACUAGGCCCGACUCCCCUUGUGCAAUAAAACUAGGUGGUUGCUUCAUAUACACAACUUCUUUGAGAUCACCACGAAGGAAAGCGUUCUUGACAUCAAGUUGUAAUGGCCAGUGCUGAGAGGCUGCCAAGGAAAUUAACAAUCUAACAGAAGACAUUUAGCAACAGGAGAAAAAGUCUCAGAAUAAUCAAUAAACUUGAGCAUAUCCUUUUGCAACCAAUUAAGCUUUUAAGUCGAGAUCCAUCGGGAUUUACAUUUACUGUGUACACCCAUUUACAACCAACAAUUAAUGCAGUCAAAGGAGGUAUCACCAACUCCCAAGUAACAUUUUUCUCCAAAGCAAUCAUUUCCUCUUCCAUUGCUAUCCUCUGGCCAGGAUGCGAUAGUGCUUCCUUAACAUUUUUUGGGACUGGAUGAACAGAGAUAGUAGAGAGACAUUUAUGAUGAGUAGAAGAGAUACUAGAAUAAGGAAGAGAAGCGGAAAUAGGAUGUUGGGUACAAUUUUAUUUACCUUUUGGUAGGACAAUUUGUUUAUCUAGAUCAGAAUCAGAGGACGAGAUUCCAGGAUUUGCAGACAAAGAUGAGGAGGUGAGAGUCGAGUCAUCACUAGGUGUUGUAUCUGUUUUUGGAUGACGACACAUCGUAUUUCUGGCAUUGGUUUAUGUGGCAUAGAAGGAAUAGUCGACUUGAUGAUAUAAGUGGACAACUCUUCAUCUAAAUCAGACACGGAAUGAGGUUGGGAAGAAAAUGAUGUUUUCUCAAAAAAAGUUACACUAGAACUAACGAAGUAACGUUUAAAUUCAGGAGUAACAACGAUAACUUUUUUGGGUAUGAGAAUAACCCAACAAACAUUUUAGAGCCUUGGGAUCUAAUUUUGAUACACCAGGACGGUGAUCUCGAACAAAACAGAAGCACCCAAAAACACGUGGGGACAAAGAAAACAAAACCUGAGAAGGAAACAAGAUAGAGUGAGGAAUUUCUCUACCUACAACAGAAGAAGGCAUGCGAUUAAUCAAGUAACAUGCGGGGUCUGCCAAAAAUGGUUUUGGUACUUUCAUAUCAAAAAAUAAAGCACGAGCAACUUUCAUAAGAUGACAGUUUUUUCUCUCUGCAACACCAUUUUGUUGUGGUGUGUCAGCACAUGAGAAUUGAUGGAUGAUGCCAUGACUAGCCACGAAUGUAGAAAAUGGAAAUGAAAAAUAUUCAAGAGCAGUAUCACUGCGUAAUACACGGAUUAUGAGACCAAAUUGAGUCUGAAUUUCGUUCACAAAAUUAGAGAAAAUGGUGAACAAUUCAGAACGGUUUUUCAUUAAGUAAAGCUAAGUUAUUCGUGAAUAGUCAUUAACAAAUAUAACAAAAUAUUGAAAUCCCAGUUGUGACGUACAAGGUCCCUAGACAUCAGAGUGUACUAACUCAAAUGGGUUCACAGACCGUUUAUUGACCCUAGGGGGAUAUGACACACGCUAUGGUGUUUCCCAAAUUGACGGGACUCACAUUCUAAACUAGAUAAAGAACUAAAACAAGGCAUCAAUCUUUUCAAGUUGGACAAAGGGUGUCCUAAUCGAUAAUGGACUAGAAGAGGCGAGACGACACUUGAACAAGCAAUGACCCGAGGAACAAAAACUAAUUCAUUAAAUAGAUAUAAACCUCCCGAUGCACGACCUCUACCAAUCAUCUUCGUCGUAAGAUCCUGAAAAACACUAGAAUCAGGAUAAAACGUCACGAAACAAUUAUAAGCUUUUGUCAAUUUACUAACAAAAAGGUUAUAUGGAAAUUUGGGUAAAUAUAAUGUAGAUGCUAAAGAGAGAGGGGCUAAGAUUAGCAGUACCAGUACCUUUUACGGUGAUCGUGGAGCCAUCUGCUAAGGUCACACUAGGUAUAGAGAAGUAGGAUGAAAAGAGAAAGAUUACUAGAUAUACAUGUGAUAUGAUCAGAUGCCCCAAAGUCAAUUACCCAAGGAUGGGAUCAUAGUUGUUACGGCGCCACAGUGAGUCAUAACGGUAGCCGACUGCCAAGACACCUAGAUGACAAGACGACCGCCAUGACGUCCGUAUGGCGACAAGUCGUUUACAACGUGCAAUUUAUAUAUUAUUUAUUUUACUUAACAAGCAUAUUGACAAUAAAAUUUCAUAUACAUUAAAACUCUAAACAUAACACUAUGGAAUAAUAUUAAAAACAUAAUUAUGUAAAUACUUAGCGAUAACAAUCUAAAAAUAAAACACUUAGAUAUUAAAAAUUAGUAAAAGAAAUGAAGAAUUCAACAAACACCACAGAGAAAAUAAAGUUGCAACCAACCAUCACAAAUAUGUAGUCUAAUAACUAAUAAAACACCACAUAGCAAGCCAAAAUUAUGUAUUGACUCUAUACAUUAGUCUUUAAAUAUCGUUCAAGCAAACUCAUCAAGAAAAAGGUCAUCUCUAUCUCCUCCACGAGAACUACCCUUGUGACGCCCCCAAAAUAGGUAUACAUCACCCAUCUUGGGUCGCCAAAUACAUGGUACAGAAUUCAAAUACAAACUUAAUUUAUACAACUGUUAAGUGCCGUGCAGAAUACGACAAAACAUAAGUUGUGAGUUUUAAUACAAAUAUUGUCUCCUUGACAAUAUCCAAUCUCAAAUUCAAUCCUCAUUACAUUUAUUAUCACACUAAAUAGUGAGGACUACUAAAACAACCAUCUCGGACGGUCACUCCAUUCCCCGACUAGUCCCAACUACAUUCUCAUUUUCUGAAGAGAACAAUGAAAGCAAAAGGGUGAGCUCAACUAGCCCAAUAAGAAAUAUUAUGACUAAGAUAAUGCAGUGUUAAACUGUAAAAUAUAAUAAACAUCAAGUUUAACUGCAGCGGAACAAGUAAUCCAUUAGAAGAGUCAAGUAGAGCAUGAUAUCUACUAUCUUCUAUGAUUUAAAAAGUUUAUCAUCAAUUUUAUCGCUGAGACUCAGCUAAAUAAAUAAACCACAUCAUCGAAUCAUCCUUGCACUACAAGCCAAGGAUAUUCAUUAGUAUCAUGUCCACAAAUUAUCCAUGCUCUAUGGGCCAAGGAUAUUCGUGUAAUCAUCAAUGGUCAUGAUCAUGCCAACCACUGUCCAUCAAUGCACUACGGACCAAUGAGGACUUUUACCACAUCAUUUGUAACAUUACGGUCAUGAUUAUAUCGAAUGAUCUCUGUUCAUAAUUAUACCAAUCAACAGUUCAUCUAUGCACGUAAGCCACAGAGGACUUUCAUCACAAUAUAAGCAUGAGGAUGAUGACAAUGAUAUAAGAAUUCAAUUAAAAGAAAGCAAAGGAUAAAUUUUUAAAGAUUUAUAAUUUAAUUUAUCCAGAAGAAAUGCUCUAACUCUCUCUCAAAUUUACUAAGGAAACUAAUGAAGAAACUAUAUACUAGAAUGCUUUAUUAGACUAGAAUGCUUGAGAAAUGGAUGGAAAUGAAGGCUGCCCCCUCCUAUCUAUUUAUAGGAGGGUUGGUGACCCUUCGGAUGGGCACAUCACCCCUGAAAAGGCAUGGGGUGCCUCUUGAAGAGGUAUUAUUUGUAUCUGUUGGUCAAAACGACGUAGUUUUGACCAUUUACAGAAUAGGCGCAUCUAUUCGGUUUAUUAAAACGACAUAGUUUAAGUGUUAGCAGAACCAAAAUUACGUAGUUUUAGGCUUAGAAGAAAAGGCGCGACAAAAACGACUUAGUUUAGGGCCGCCCGUUCAACCUUACAGAUACCGCUUCCUCAAAACGACACAGUUUUGAUAAUACCGCUUCUCAAAACGACACAGUUUUGAUAAUAUAAUAAAUACAACUUCAAAACGACACAGUUUUUGAUAAUAGAAUUAAAUAAAUAAAUUUUAAUUAAAAAAUUUAAAUAAAUUUUGUCUAAAAAAUUAUAGACAGGACCCACGUGCCCCGAGCCCGAGCCAGGCUAGGUCAGGCCGGACGGACGGUGGCGGCGGCGCGCGCGUGUGGGUUCGAACCUAGCCUUGGCUAGGUCCUCUCCCUUCCACAAAAGUGGGGUGCCCCUUGGGACCCAAACCCAAGAGCACUUUCCUUGUAUAUAAACAUAUAAAACCUUUAAUUCUUAAUCUAUGUGGGACUUAGUUUUUCCCACAUGUAUUUAUUAUCUUUCAAGUAUGAUCUUUGGGAGUUAAUAUCUCAUUCAUUACUCUAUGGAUUUUAGCUUCCAAAUACUUAAUUUAAUCUACUCAUGGAGUAGAACACAUUAAUAUAUGGAAUCAUUAAAAUUAAUUAAUGACACUCACAUUAAUUUAGGCUCAAAUUCCAACACAUACUGGGGGCCAGCUUCUUCAAUCUUAAUAUUAAGUAGAUUUGCUAACAUUGUGGCAUCUUGCGAUUGACUGGAGGUAUAAUUCAACAAGUGUCUUCCCCUCUUAUUCGUCCAACCAUCCGACAUGAGUGUUCCUUCCAAGCAACUUCAUGUUUCGCUUUUAACUCAUUAGUUUUUGUCUUUGCCUUCUCAAGUAAAGGAAUCCUCAACUUAUGAUACGUUGGAGGCUUUAAACUCGACCCAUAUUGCCCUAUGGACUCGAUCAUUACCUCAAAGCUCCUUGCAUUUGCAGCAUUGAAUGGUAUGCCUCACUCGUAGAGAAAGUUGGCAAUGUACAUAUGGGCUCUCUCCUUUUCCUCCGGUGUCCAACAAUUUUCAAUACUCGUCUGACUCAAACGCUUGCUAAGCUUCUCCUCUACAACUUCUUUGGGACUAUUCCUUAGAAGUGCUUCAACCGUCUUUGUUGGAGCUUUUGGUUGUGGCUUUUGGAAUUGAAAAACAUCUUUUUUUUCUUUUGGAAGCAGUCCCAGAACUUGGGAUAGUGUUAGAAGAAGCAUUGGAAGCCAUGCUUGGAAGAGCAGAUGAUUGUUCUUCUUACAGUUAUACUUUUACAUCAUCAUCAUCUAGCUCAACUGACUUGUUCCUUUUUCUACUAUUCAAAGCCGCUUGCAUCUCCCUUAUAAUUUCUGUUGUUGUUUUGGGGCACUUCGUUACAUCUCUAAAAUUUUCUGCUAAAUAACCUUUUGAUUCCUGAAGAACAUUGCUUCCCACAAAGAAUACAUUACUCUAUAUUCUUAUUACUAAUAAACCCCUCACAGACCCAACAAAUCCAAACCCAAAGUGAGUAACGAACUAAUCAUUUUCCACCUUCUAAAAAAUACAGAAACAACUCAAACAUAUAUUUUGGAAGAGCACAAGAAAUUAUAACUUGCACUUGCAUUGAUGAACAUGAAAUGAGAUGAACAAUGUCGGGCACUAUUCACGAUGAACAGUUCGGGUACUGUUCACGGAGAACAAUGAUUUUUUUUAAUAUUUUAGAAUGGAGAAAAAGAAGGGAAAAAAAAGGAGAGGAUUUUUUUUUUAGGAAACUAAUACCAUGUGAAUGCUAGAAGACAAUAUUAUUCCAUAUCAUAAUGUGUACAAUAGAGAGCCUUUAUAUAGAAGUGUCAAAGCUAAAUAUGGAAAGUAAGGCGGUGUUUGAUAAAAUUGAGUGUUAAGACCUGAACACUUUAGACAUUUGAAUAAUAUAAAGCAUCUGUUUAGAAUUGUGUCUGAAUGAAAAAAUGUUGUUUGAUAAUUAAUUUUUUCAAAAUGUCUGAAUAACAUAAUUUACCAUUUUAACCCUAUGUCCAAAAUGUCUUUUUUUUCAUUCUUUUCUUUUUCAAAACCAACAAUCAUAGAGCAACUGUGCAAGAGCGGAUCUCCUUUACACUUGAUGCGCUUCAUCUGAAUCAAGAUCUCAACAGAUGGACUGUGUUAAUAAAUUUGAAUUUGCCGUUUGAAUUAGUGCAUAUGGUUGAAUUCGUGUAAUUUGGCUGAAUUCAAGAUAAAAGCUUAACUUUAUUUGUUUGUUGAUCACAACCCUUGAAAAAGAUGGGUUAUAUCCUUCGGAAAUGGGGGUUAUAUCAAGGUGGAUUUUACCCAUUUGUGGCAACAUUUGUUGUUUCUGUCCUUCACUUAGGGCAAGGUCGAGACAACCUGUAAAGCGGUACAAGAAGCUUGCACAGUUGAUAUCUCAGUCUCAAGGCCCUAAGGGUUAGGCCAAUGACGACGUCUCCGCAUUGCCUUCUUCUCCUCUGCCUAGGGUUUUCGGUUGCGUGAUCGGCGUGCAGAGAGAACGAACCAUUGACCGUGCUUUCCUCGAGAAGAAACAAGAGCUAUGUAUUGGGGGAUAAAGGAAGGAUUUUGUAAUAUUGUUGAGGUUAUUUUUGUCCAAAAAAACAUAAAUUUGUUCAAAUGGGACUCUAAAUGGUUUAGAAUUAUUUUUGAAUCUUACCGAUUAAGAGGCAUAAAUUUUUUUACCAAACAAGUUGUCUCUGACCAAAUCAGAUGCACACCUAUUAAGAGCCUUUAAGACCCAAACAAACACCACCUAAAUCAUAGUAAUCAAUGAUUACCACUAAUCACUCCUAAUCAAAUCUUAGAUCAUCUAGAUUAAUCUAACAUGCUUUCUUGUUUAUUAAGUUGUCCACAAGUUUUAACCUGCCUUGGAUGUUUUUUGCAGGAUAUAUAAAUGUGCAGAACGUAGGAUCCUGUAAUGUCUUUGUUCCAUUAAAGAGGUAGACACUCAGAUAAAUUCCCUUUGCAUCAAUUGACCGAGUAAUCUAUCUGGAAUGCAUUAUAUAUUGAAGUAAGAUGCAGUGUUCUGGAUUGAGAGUAGGGUCUGCUGAUAAUUUUGGUGAGUUUCUUAUUUGUGCUGUAAAUGCUAUUCUGAAUUGUUUUUUAGCAUGAUCAUCAUUAUUCUGGUUUACCUGCACUCUGUCGUUGAAAUUGUGAUCAAACAUAUACUAUGUACAUUUAUUUCUUUCAAUAGAAACUUUAUACGACAAAUACAGGUAGUGCUUUCAAAGCAAUUUGUCCAUCUCAAGUGUUAUUUUAGAAAAUAUAAAGAUUAUUAAAGAAACAACUGACAAAUGCAAUACUAACAAUGAUAAACCUUUACUGUUAUUACUUAUAAAAGUUGAUUCCAUUAAUUGGUCAAAUCAAAGUCUUCCUUCUGAAUGGUCUGUGGUUCAUGCACCACUUCUCAUAACAGAAGCAUAGCUUAAUAACCAUAGGGUCUUUGACAAAGAAUCAAUGGAAACCCUUCUUGUUUGGUCCAACAGCCCAUUAGUAGUGCAGUUGUAGUCUGCUCAUUUUUCAAAGAAACAAAUAUUGGAUUAAGAUACCGGUGAAAAUUUUCUGGUUUAUUACAAUGUUAUUUAUAACUAAGCGGAACAGAAAUUACCCCAGCUUUGGUGCCUGUGUUGGUGUUUCAUAGUUUCGCUGUUGUGGCUGGCAGAGCUGGAGAUGGAUAGGUGCAUGUGGGUCAUCUCCAAUGCUUAAACCAUUUAUGAGAAGCGCAUUUCUGUUUGUUCCAUCUGCAUCCCUUGUUCCGUAAACCUGUGAUGUAAAAUACUUUUUGUUGAGGUGAUGGUGAAACAGCUAAUAACUCACAGUGAUACAGAGAGUAAAAAGGGGGUCUUCAUAGUAUGUGACUAACUCGUCGAUGCUUACUUAAGUUGUCUAAAUCAAUACCUUUGUAUACAGUUCCUUAUUUUCAUGACGAAUUAGGUUUACCUUCCUAUACAGUUCCACAUUUUCUUGGUGCAUGCGGUUUCCCUGCAACAAAGCCAUUGAAAUUUAGCUACUUGAAGAUAUGUACGUGUCUCUGAGAUAAAAAAGGACAGUCAGCGACCACGGGUUUUAGUGUUGACCUUUCUGUUUAGUUCCUCUAUUUCAUCUAUUAGAACUUGGUCCUACAUAGAAGAUUAUGUUAAUGCACAAGUUGGACUGUAUAGAAGAUCAUACGAUGAGCAUCACUUAUGGGGAUGGAAGUUUCAAACCUUUCUUGUGCGGACACCCCGAAGGCUCAUUUCCAGUUGGUUCUCCAAAUUCUGCAAAUCUUUCACACUCAAACCAGAAAGCUCCUCACCCAGCAUUUGCCUGUAAUUAUCAUAUGAAUAGUUGAAUGAACUCAUCAGUUUGUGUGCUUCCAAGUUUCUUUAGUAGCAAUAGUGAGACUCAUAAAAUGAGAUGUUAAAGACUAUCUGGUCGAACAAUUAAUCUUUGUGAAUUUGUACAACAUUAAUGGACUACGCUCCACACUUGAUCUGAUCUAAGUCUAUCCAUUUCAAGGAUUUUCUCAUUGCUGCUGAUCAAGUUUGUUGCUAAUGAAUUAUUUUUGACCUCUGAAUCAGGAGUUGUUGGGUUCAAUUAAUAAUCUGUUGUGUAUAAACUUUUUAAGAAAUAAUCACUAAUUAACAAGAGUUAUGACAGUAUAUAUGUCUUGUGCUGGCUGGCUGGCUGGCUACCUAUCCCUCUUUAAACUGUUUCAGUUGCAGACUAACUGUUUGGUCGUCUUUGUUCAUCAUUCUGCAAUCUGCAAUUGAUAAUGAAUGGUUUCAAUGAAGUACUCAAUUGGUUUUGAGAUCAGUGCAAGUGCCACUUUACCUAAUUACCUCCCGUAGGCACAUAACCUACACCUGCUUUAGACCAAAGUGCAACAAUUAACAUUCCAUUAAUUUUUUCAGAUGGAAAGUAAAUUACUUGAAUACCCGCAAUCUAUUAUUUUUAUUAUUAUUGGUUUGCAUUUAGACUCCUAAAUCACAGAGGGGCCCUUAAAGAUUAAAAGAAAAUUCUGGUGUCCUAAGAAUAUGUAUUCAAGGCCCUAACUUUUCGGGAUGAAUUGGUCCAUGCCGAAGGCUGUUAAGAUUUUGUUAGCAUGGUGGAAGGGGACUAGGGUGAAUAAAGCUAUGAAGGGAAAUGGUUGGUGGCCCCUCAUUUUAUCAAGUUGUCUAUAUGGUAACAAAGGAGCUAAAGGGGUUUAAAAGGGGUGGAGUGGUUCAUUUGUGCAGUGUAAUUUACUAUGUUGAGUUUUCUUUAUAUUUUGGGUUUAUGAGGUGUGUAUGGGAAGGCACUCUCUCUCUUAGAUUUUUCGGAGGAGUUCAAGAUUGGGUUUAUUUUCAGACAUACUAAUGCUUGACUUUUUAUAUAGGUAUUUCCAUCUUGGUGACUUUCUCUCUAGGGUCUGAUGUCUGUUAGUUGUUCUUUUUCCCCCCUUUUUCCCAAGGAGGAGGGGAGUAGGGCUUUUCAUCUUUGUGUAUUAAUGGUAGGUUUUGAUAGUGGGUUCUGCCCCCUUCGAUAAUUUUUUUAAUAAAAAAAAGUACUUAUAGAAAAGAUAGUAUUCGAGGCCCCAAAAACAUUCUGCCUCGAAAACAGCCCAAUUUGAUAAACUCCAUGAUUCUUUGAAUUUUAUUUUUCAUGAAAAUUAUCAUGCAUAUUAUCAGAUAUAUAUACUUGUUGAAUGCUUAAUAAUACAAAAAAUUGCAGUAGCAGUGGCAAAGUUUAUACCGAUGAUUCUCUUGCAGGUCUUGAAGUUGUUGCCUUAGCAUUGCUGCCUCCCUUUGCCACAACUGUAAGUAAAAGUAGCAAAUUUAUUUAUGUAACAAUGCAUUAGAUCAGCAUGGCUAAUGGGACUCGUCUCUUAAAAAGAUUAACAAGUUCACUUAAACUUACGGGUUAAAUGCUUUUUUGGUCACUGUACUUUAUAUCAACUUACAAGUGAGUCACUUAACCGUUUUUUCUUCCAGUCAACUCACUAUACUUUUGUUUACUUACAAACUGUUAGAAAAUCCGUUAAAUCAUGUUGACUUUAAAUGAAAAUACACAUAAGCGGCUGAGUUGUAAAAAAAAAAUCUCAAUGUGUCAAAGAUUGUUAGAAAAAGUCACAUUUGUUAAUGAUUUUUUUUUACAACUCAGCCGCUUAUGUGUAUUUUCAUUUAAAGUCAACAUGAUUUAACGGAUUUUCUAAUAGUUUGUAAGUAAACAAAAGUAUAGUAAGUUUACUGUAAGAAAAAACGGUUGAGUGACUUACUUGUAAAUUGACAUAAAGUACAGUGACUAAAAAAACAUUUAACCCCUUAAACUUACUGAUCAUUUUUGUCAAUAAAAUGAAAACAUGCUAAUGAAAACCAUUUAAAGCUAUGGGACCAAUUGAUAAACAUGUUUUAAACUAACCGCAUAUUAGUUUGUUCUACGUGUGUGUUUCCACGUAGGAUGGAUGGAUGCAUAAAUUAGUUGGGAGCUUUUAGAAAAUUAAAUCAUUUAGAAUCUUGAAAAUUAUUCUAAAUGUUCGUGAUGGAUAGGUGAUAAUGAUAUAUUCUUAUUUGCGUUGCUAACGUCAUUAGGAGCUCUUAAGGAAAGCUAUUAAGGUGCUCUAUCCUCUCCGAAGUCGAGGAAGCUUUAAAGAAGAUGAAACCAAGUAAAGCUAUGGGGCUUGAUGGUGUACCUAGUGAAGUUUGGUGUUGCUUGGAGUGUGUGGCCUUAGGUUGGUCGACUCUUACAAACUAAAAUGAUACUCGAAGAGUAGAGUAUGUUGAUGCCAAUUUAGAUAGUUGAUGAAAAGGUAUUGGGGACCUACAUUUGGUGUUUAUCGAUAUAGACAAGACAUCAUAGGGUUGCGGGGAAGGUCUUUUAGUGUCUUCUUGUGACGAAAAAAGUGCAUACUAAGUAUGUUGAUGUGAUUAAGUACAAGGAGAAUGUAUUCUCAUAAAAAGAAAAUGAAAACUAUACAAUGGAAGAAACAUGCCAAGCCUCAAUGUAACCCCACUUUCCAAUUAUGUAUAACAUUAAGGGGGACUCCAGUCACUCCACCAGAAAGCUCUCACUGAGGGAGAUGAGUAAGUGCAGAAGGAAACUAUCCCAUAGCAAGUGGAAACUUGAAGACAGUACAUACAAAAUUCUUGCAUUCCUUUUUCCACACUCAUAAAAUAGUAGUAAAACUAGCACAUCUCCAUAGGAUCAUUCCGUUCUUGCAACUGCCAAUUCCACAUAACCUACUCAGAAGCCACACAAAGAACACCAAAGCCACUACACCAUAAGGCAGUAAAUAAAUAGAGAGAUCGCAAAAUGCACAUUUGUAAAUAAGUCUUUGUAGUGCCUACGGCUGUAUUGCAUGUUGUUAGUGUUAAGCCUAUGAAGAACCAGAGACUAUCCUUGCAAAAGUCUCAAUUUUUGGAGUCGUUGCUUUUCAAAUGUUAGAUGAGAUGCUUAAUAGUAGAAUCAACAAUUGUGUAAGUAAGAUGAGAAUGACUGACAAGAAUAGUUUCAAGAAGGAUCUAGAGACCAAAUAUGCGUACUCCUAGAAAAUGACCAGCCUACUCAAAUAUGGGAGAAUUGUACUGAGACGAGAGAUAAAAGAGAUUGUCAUUAUAUCUUGAAAGAGGAACUACCUCAACCAAAAACAGAUGGUG